AUAAACCUAUUGUUCAAGUUGGUUUUUGGAAUGUUUUGCAAAUAUUGGUAGUAUGGAAUUAUGGAAGAGAAUUGUGGUGUUGGGUUGCUAAUACUAGAUGCCAAACAUUUCAUUGUAGAUAAGUGAUUUGUAAAGGCGGGAAGUUGUGUUGAAUUGGUAUCCGAAUCUACAACGAGGUAUGUAAAGCAUACUCUAACAAUGUUCUUUGGCAUGAAAACACCAAUGUUCCAUCAAGUAAGAUUCCGAGGUUGUCCAAAAACAUGUAUUGUUCUACGUUACCAACGAAGUUGUUUCCAUUCUAUAAAGUGUCAAAAUGUUUCAUUGAUAUACCAAAAGGCUCCUAUUUCAUUGUUGUGAUAUUGAUGAUUCUGAAACACAUUGUUGAUGUACCAAUGAGUCUUUAUUACAUCGUUAUUGUAUAGAAGGUCUAUUACUUGGUUCCUAUUGAUGUAUCAUUGUUUCAAAGUAUCAAAAAUGUGGUGGCGACCGAAAUAACAAUCUCAAAGAUUAAUUGAACUAAGUGAUGGAAGUUCUCUCUUAUCGGGUGGUAUCCCAGGGGCAUAAGCCUAGCAUGGGUCGAUCCCUAUUUAUGUGUUUAUGGGUGGUAUCCCAGGGGCAUAAGCCUAGCAUGGGUCGAUCCCAGUUGAUAUGUACUGGAGGCAGCCUAAUGGUCAUAGUACAGUACAGUAAUGAUUACAAAAAUGAUAAGAACGAAGGUAAAGUGAUUGAAUAAAUACAAUGUACAGGUUGUCACAAGUUCUAGUAAGUGUGGUCCACUUCUAUUACGAUUUAUUCACUUGUUUCUAAUUUCUAUUGAGCUCUUAUAUCAUAUGUGAUUAUCUACAGCUUUACAUACUCAGUACAUAUUUCGUACUGACGUCCCUCACGGGGGACCUGCAUUUCAUGCUGCAGGCACAGGUACCUCAGCUCAUACACCGCACAAGUAGGAGCCA
rnacentral:lncRNA from 1 species